ensembl:lncRNA
CCCCCCCCCCAUGACUACUUGGGUUAUUGCCCCCUGAAAUGAAAGAGACAGCGUUCCUACUCAGCUGUUGUUAGUUUGCUGUUAUAUACAACACAUGUAUAUAUAUAUACGUAUCUAUGUACACAACACGUGUAUAUAUAUAUACAUGUUUACGUGUGUUGGACUUGGAUACAUAUAUUACCAUAUAAAUACAUGUAAAUAUGCAGUAAAUCUAGAGGUGAAUACGACGCGUUGGCGCAUCGACCUGUCAAACACGGAAGAGAACAACGACCACGUGGGAGUCGCUGCUGAUGAGGACGUCGUUUUACACGUCUGCGUGUACAGGAAUAGUAAGUGGAACAGUCAUUUUCAUCAACCAUAUAAAUACGAAUAAGAAGAAUAAGAAAUUAGAUGGAAUAAGAGGGAGAAACUGUAUGUUUGGUGCAUCUAAACAUUGUUACUACCUGUUUACCUGUUUACCUGUUUACCUGCGUACCUGCUUACUCAGCCUGCUUAGCUGUUUACAGACAUUUCUGUGACCAGACUAAUCCAGAGGGGGAUUACAGCAAACUAGAGAGGAAUACAGAACAACAUGCAGUAAACGUUCCUUAGAUGUAGAAGAGCGUGUUAAAGCUCAUUACAAUUCAACUUGAUGUUGAAUCUUAAUCAGACCAACUGAGAUUAAAACCCACCAAGUAGAUGUUGUUUGUGUAACGAGGUCAACGGACAAAGACCCAAAUCCACAGAGCAUUUCAAUCUGUAAACUCACUAAUUAGAUGCAAACGCUGAUGUUAACUGAAGUUGGUUCGCUGAGUCGCAGUGACCUGCAUGUGGAAACUAGUAAGUCUCUUUAGAGGGUUACUGAAGAGGAACAAAGGCCCCACGGAGCAGCUUCAGAUCUCCCUUCGAUUACAGCCCAGCUGAUUGUGCUCCUUUGGACUCAUGGUAGCCGGUGUGAUUGUCUGGAGACUCGCCCGAUUAGACAUGGACUUAUUAUGGUACUGACUUGAGAUUGAAAUUCAGUGUGACGGAUGAGACUGACUGACGGAUAUCUGGAGGGAUGGAUGGGUGGGUUGGUUGGUUGGUUGGUAGGUAGGUUGGUUGGUAGGUAGGUAGGUAGGUAGGUAGGGAGGUAGGUAGGUAGGUAGGUAAAAAGGUACCAGGGUCUGUAGCUGCAUAGAUCUGGUAGAAAUGUCAGUGAGCAGGAAGAAAUGAGUGGGUGAAGUUAAGCUACGGGGCUAAACGGGGUUGAUUAAAGAGAAAUGUAAAAGAUGAGAAUGAGUGAUAUCAGCUAAAGAGUUAAAGAGAAAAUAAGGGAAUGAAGGUGAAUGUUGAAAGAAAGAAAAAACAAGCAGCUGCAGUGCGUCAUCUCUUUAAGCCCCGAAAUGACGAAGCGAAGCGCCCAGAGCCACAUAAUCCCGUCCCCCAUUAGCAGCCGAGUACCAUGACCACACACUCACACUCAGGCACUCGAGUGCUGCAAUGUCCAAUGUCAGGAUCUCCGAUCCACCGAGUCGGUUGAUGAGAAGAAUCGCAGCACGUUGAUCAAUUAAAGUCAAAAAGUUAACAUUUAUUUAGAAGAGAAAAAGAUUACAUGAGCAAUUCUCCGCAGAUAUCUGGCUCUAACUAUUGCUUGCAAGCAGGAGGUCCAACACAGCAGCACGUAUCUCAGCGUUCGGCGUAAUGACGUCUCCGAGCAGUAAAACCGCUGAGUUUUUCUACACAUGAAGACCAUCCUCAGUGCCCGUUACGAGAAGCUAGAAAGCAGGUUGAGAUAAGAACCCAGGUGAAGAUGAGGGAAACACACACACACACAAGAUCCUCCUCAGUGGCCGGUGCACAUCAUAAUUAAUUGACAUGAAGUUAAAACGUGGAUCCGGAACUUUCGUACCGAAUAAGAUAUGAACCAAGGCCACGAACAGAAGUCCUUUGUUUUGAAGCGUCUGUUAAGUUAAGUUAAAUCCCUUCUUCAGACACAGCUGCAAACCUUCAAUCUUUCUGUCUCUGCACAUCACAGUCAAAAACAGGCACCUGAGGCCCGGCUUUAGCACAAAACAAUGUUAUAAUAUAUUUUACCAGUAGAUGCAUCUCACACCGACCUGACAGAAAGUUCCUUUGCUGCAUUUGUGUCAAAGUGUAAUUAAUUCAUCGAGAAACCCUACGAAAGAACACCACCUCUGCCGCCUGAAGCCUCUCACUAACACGGGCAUCUCCACGAGAGGUCACCGGGGUCACCCGUGACUCCCGUGGGUGGAGUUUAAUGCCAACGCAGGCUUUGAGUGAGCAGCAGGGGCCCCGUGUCAUUCUGCGUGUUAUAACGAGAUCAACACAUGUUCCAGUGAGCUCUUCUAAAUCAAUACGUCUCCCACAAGCCUCCAGAGCGGAUCACCUGGCCAACGCACCGACGGUCCAUCACUGAGGAGUCACACAUUUGUUUGAGAGCCCUCAUAAGCCGAUGAGAUUGUUCGAAGGAAGUAGCAGCGCUACUCUCCACACCAUCUGAGGUCAGGAGGACACACGUCCAUGGAGAUCGAGUUCAGGAGACUUCCCAAUGAAGAAGUGAAGUGUCUGAAAGACGGAGCAGGUUCCCGUCAAGGUCCAGGUAAGUUGUACCUGAAAGGGACUAGUUCAUGUCUCAAGUGUCUUCCAGAGAGCAGGAGUAGAAUCCAAGUAUGGCUUUUGGGAAAAUGUCCAGACGUGUAUGAAACAUGUUUCAUGUGUUUAUUGCCUCUCAUUUAUCGUUUUCCCCACUUGUUUUAAGCGGUGGGUUAAAUCAUCGUUCCCUCAAGCAAACUAGCUCCUUUAGUGUGUCGGGGAGAGUUCCAGCCAUGGAAGACGCUCUGGAAUAAACGGGAUUAUUCCUCAUGAGAACAAAACAAGGACGGGAGGACGUAGAAACCAGACGUAGGACACAGAGGAAUGCAGCUUUUGAGUGAGGAGGGAAUCAGAGUGGAGGGAAACUAGUUUUUAUUGGAAAAGAGUGACGGGUAGGGAGGGACAGAGGUCCAACAGGAGGAGAAGAAAUGCACAGAUAAGUAAUUACCUAGUAGGGGAAGGAGGAUGAGAAGAGGUUCAAGAGGUUCAGGAGGUUCAAGAGCCAGCAGGGCACAAAGGGAGGAAAAUACAGCGGAUUUCAAUUAUGGAGAGAAAAUGAGGUUUAUUCAUUUCCCCAAGAUGUCACGAGGGCAGAGAGAGGACAGACAGGCCGACGGGUUGACGAACACGAAUGCAUUAUUCAUUUCCUCACACUGAUCCAGCUGAUAUACAGAUUGGUUCUGUCUCCUCAUUUGCAUACGACACAAAGUCCACUUCCACACCUGCUUUGGAUGCCAAAAGGAUAAAAGGCUGAAUUCAAUCUGGUUUGUUCCUCCGGUGGCACGUUUAAGACUCGCUGCCCCCACGGUUGGUUAUGAGUGUCCUGACAGCAGGAGCCUGCAUGGGUUGCCGUGGUAACGACAGCUUUCCAAAGUGGAAGCCAGAGAGCUGAAGGUUUGUCACUUCAAGUGGACAACUGAGGGGACUCAAAGGGCUGAAGAACAUCUCCUUGGUGGAGGAUGGAAGGAGGAUAGAUGGUGGUCCGGGGGGUGAGAAGUAGAAGAGCGAGGUGCAGUCUGGGUAACGGGGUGCCUGACGGAGAAGAGAACCUCUUUGAUGAGAUAUCAGAAUCCAUGUGAUCCGGUUGGAGCAGAUCAGUCAAUAAUCAUCACGUUAUUUGGAUCAACUAAACGCUUUUUAACGUCACACAAACAUGACAAUGUAAAAUCAUUAUCGCACACUUCUCAUUUCACUGCCUCCGACUGGGAGGAAAAUAUAACCUGCAUGUUUUCAUGUGUGUGUGUGUGUGUGUGUGUGUGUGUGUGACCUUCCCUCUUGAGUGUGGCCCUUUCGGGGCAGAUGGAGAGCUUUGGAAUGAACACAUAUACAUUAUACAGUAUACAUAUACAGUAUUUAUACAGUAUAUAUACAGUAUAUUUAUACAGUAUAUCUAUAUAAAUAUAUGUUUGUGUCGAUGAAGUUUUUAAAAGCUGAAGAAGAAACAACAAACGCACAAAGAUGAUUUAUGGGACGACUGGUGCUUCACUGAAACAGAAACACAAGAGUAUUUAAAUAAAAUCAGUGUUGAUUUACAAAUGUAAUUAACAAAAGGUCUUUUUAUUUUAGAUGAACAGAAGCAUGUUUUGUCACAAGGAACAUUUGAACAAUUUACAUCUGUGGUUCCCUCCAACGAAUCAUCUGCAUCAGAAGCAACAGAAGAGUGACGAGUUAAAGGGGAGAGAAACAUCCGUCUGGUUUCCCUUCACUCAUCAUGAUAGAUGUCGCUUUGCUGUUUCACCGUAGCAGGAAUGUUAUUUCACAGUCUGGAUGCUUCGAUGAUAGAGACAAGAAAAUAAAUCAAAUGUGGCAACAGAGAGAAUCCCCAGAAUACUAAUGUGUGUGCGUGUGUGUGUGCGUGUGUGUGUGUGUGUGUGUGUGCGUGUGUGUGUGUGUGAGUGUGUGUGUGUGUGUGUGUGUGUGAGUGUGUGUGAGUGUGUGUGUGUGUGUGAGUGACUCAGCACUGAUCACUUUUUGAGAAGUUAAAGGAGCAGCUGGUUGGACGUCUACACGGUAAACGGAGACACUCUGAGCCUCCGACGCGGUGUGCGUGUGUGUGUGUGUGUGUGUGUGCGUGUGUGUGCGUGCGUGUGUUUGAGCCUGGAGGGAUUGCGUGUCAUGGCGUGUAGAAGCGUGCACUCUGUUGCUUUUAAAUCCACAGACAAAUACCAUUUAAUUAAUAAGUUCAAUCUGACCUCUGGGAAAACAAAACCAAGAGGAAGGAGUAGAAAUAAAUAAUAAUAAUGUUCUUAAAAUGAACUUUCCCGAAGAGAAUGAAAUCCAUUUUCAGCAGCUCCCCUUUUAUAACCUGAAUGUUUUGGUUUUUUUAAUGUCAAAUUCAAAAUCAGGUUUCAUUUCCAAACAGGGCUACAGUUAUUUCACGACUCAAUAAAAAUGAUAAAAUAAGGACCAAAACGUCCAUAAACAGCUGAUUCGGACAAAGAGACGCUGUAAAAGUUCAUUUCCCCCGUGAAGGUUUCAGCAGAUUUCACAGCUGAAUUUAUUAACGUAUAAACAGCGUCUGGGACACAGAAAAGAAAAGCAGCAAUGGAACAGAAUAAAGAUUAAAAGAAGAUGAGACACCAGGAAGGAAAAGUCAACCAGCUUAUUGUCCCGACAGCGUCCUCACAGAGACAGACUCCUGUAGAAAGUUAAUGAAUGUUGACUCUCUAUUGACGUCUUCUCCGCGCUCUCGUUCCCCAGCUUUCAACAAAGGGUUUCAUCUGCAGAUCGACUGCUUCCACUUCCACAAGAAGUCCUCACUAUUAAAAGUUUUGUUGUCUCAAUACAUUCUAACGAUGUCCUUCUACGGAUGCUGAUGGAUGAAGACGCUGUGAGUUUGUUCUCUUCAAAGGACAAUCGUAGAAAUUAGAAGUGACGAUGGGGAAAAAUAAGAAAUGCAUCCAAAUGCUCCUCUGACCUUUUAAAAUAAAGAAGAAUCACAACUCCAAACACUGAUAUGAUAAUAUGUUUAUAUAACAUUCCAUCUCUAAGCCCCUCCUCUCUCAGCUCCUCCUCUCUAAGCUCCUCCUCUCUCAGCUCCUCCUCUCCCAGCUCCUCCUCUCUCAGCUCCUCCUCUCUAAGCUCCUCCUCUCUCAGCUCCUCCUCUCUAAGCUCCUCCUCUCUAAGCCCCUCCUCUCUAAGCUCCUCCUCUCUCAGCUCCUCCUCUCUAAGCUCCUCCUCUCUAAGCCCCUCCUCUCUAAACUAAGCUCUAAGCUCCUCCUCUCUAAGCCCCUCCUCUCUCAGCUCCUCAGCUCAGCUACAUGCUGUUAGCGGCUACAUGCUGUUUCUGAGGUUUAUUAACUUAAGAGCAAGAACACUUGAAAAGCACAUGUAUGUCCCCAAGGUUUUAAAAUGCACUGAAAGCUCAUAUAUAUUAUUCUGAAAUACUGUAUAAUGAGCAAUUUCUGGGGUACUUUUAGUAGAUUUUGAUGCUAAUAAUAAUGAUGUAUUUUUACUUCAGUACUUCUUCCAGCACUGCAAGUUUUACGAGUGAACAUGUGGGGACAAUAAAUUGCGUUCCUGAGUACAUAAAGUACAUAACUGGUGACAGAAGUUCAGUGAAGUGUAUGAAGCCCCCCCAUCCCCCCCAGAGCCCCUCUGAACUCCACUCAAAGGCUCUCGGUCCGGCUAACGCUAACGAGGGGAAAGAGGAGGACGUUUGUCAAAGCGUCAGAAGCUCAAACGGCUUCGUUGUUAAAAGAAAGAAACGCGUGCGCGAGUUGAAAAGGAGACGCGAGGCGUUAAUCGGAGGAGAAAACCUCCGCUCCUCCCCGAGGGGAUUGUUAAUAAUGGAUGUUGGUAACAGCUUCAAGAGUCAAACACUGUGACACGGAACGGGCGAGGAGCCGCAGUGCUUUCUGGGAGAUUCCCUCCCUACAACUAAGGGUUGGAAUUCAUUUCUAUAACUUUAACCUUCAUGAUCCUUUCUGAAGAUCCGUAAACACGUCAUGAGAAAAAAGCCACAAAAAAAACAAGCUUCAAAUUGUGACGUUUCAUCCAAAGCGUUCACAUCAAAAUCAGCAGUUUCCUUUAUACAGACUGUAAGAAACUAAAACGUCACGAUUGAUUCACCUGAGACCGACCACACAGUGUGUGUGUGUGUGUGUGUGUGUGUGUGUGUGUGUGUGUGUGUGUGUGUGUGUGUGUGUGUGUGUGUGAGUGUGUGUGUGUUUGUGUCCAUGAAAAUGAUGCAGAUAAGAAGCUUAUAACCCUCCUGGAGAUUGAAUGAGAACUGGAAGCUGAUUUGUCGCAUGCGGGGGAGUCUGAGCCGUUGUGUGUCUGCUGUGUGUGUGUGUGCGUGCGCACAGUAAUUGAGAGAUAUCCGUCACUGAUGUGUUGUGUCGAUGAGAUGUUCUGCAGACGCCUCAUUGGUCCCUUUUUUUUGCACGAGGAGUUUGGGCGGAGACAAGAGCCUUCUCACAGAGGCUGGAGGUUUAUCAGCUGCAGUGGAGAUAAACUCCAUCAC